AGGGAGUGCAGUGGCGUUUGUCUUAUAACGUCACGUUAAACUGUCCGAAAAACAAAUGCGUAGAUAAUGUAAACCCUCCAACAAAAACGAAGAAAUGUAAGGAACGUUCGUAACGUUAUCUACAAUGAUUAUGUCCAUCAUGCUAUGUUCUGUCGGUUCAACACAGCAAAAUUCAUCGAAAAGUUUCACAAUAAAGGACGGGGUGAGCGACACGCGCCCAUAACAAGGCGAAGAAGACGUGGAAAAUGGCAUAGCAUAAAGUCACAGUUAUACCAAGGAUAUUCACGAUUGAAAAUAUAAUUUUAUUAUUUGGGCACACUCAUGUCUUUACUCAUUACAUUAUUC